CAUUGAUAAUGAGAAAUAUAGGCUUAUAAAACAUUAAACAAUCUUAUCAACCCCAAACAUUUGAAUGGUAGCGUGUAUAUUUAUGUAAUUUGCUAAUGUCUUACUAUAAAAUACAUAUAUAAUGCAUAUUAUAUACAUAAUAUAUGCAUUCAUUGUGUACUAUAGGGCAUAGAUCAAGGCUUAUGGUUAAUGAUAUAGACAUUUGUUUUUAAACCCACUUUUUAGAAUAUGUGUGCUAGCUAGCAUUAAACGUAAUUAAUCUCAAUAACAUGUUAGGUUUGACAACCAUGAAGUAAAUGCAUGCUGAUUUUAUAUGUACAAUGUUUCUAAAUGUGUUUUUUGUGGCUCUGUAUGUUCAGAAAGAGGAAGAGGAGGCUCGCCAGAGAGAAGAGGCAGAGCGUUUGCGUCUGGAGAGAGAGAAACACUUCCAGAAAGAGGAGGCUGAGAGAAUGGAGAGGAAGAAGGUAAGCUAAUUUCAUUUUGAGUGCUUUUUGAGGUAAUGGCAGGGUUGAAAUGUUAUCUGAAUCUUGUCUGUCACAGCGCCUUGAGGAAAUUAUGAAACGCACACGCCGAUCUGAUCAGGUAAGAUGUAAUGUCUGCGAGCAAUUGCUUUCCUCUUUUUAUCAUUGUUACCUCUAAUUUGAAGUGCUGGCUCUUCACUAACACACUUUCUACUUAUUUACUUUUUUCCAUUUAUUUACGUUUUGAAGAAAACCACCCCACAGAGAAAUGGCGAUGUCAGCCAGCAGAGCGGACAGAAUUCAGGUGAUUUGUGAUUUUAACAUUUACAUGUGCACCAGUGUUUCCUUACUCUGACAUGACAUUUCCAAUUUAUGAUGCCUGUUGUGAAUCUGACAUCUCUAACUUUCCACUCUCUUGUCUUUCUUAGUGAGUUCAAUAUCCAGCAGCCCUUCAGUGACAGUGUCAGCCCCUCAGGCUCCGGAGACCUCUGAGACAGUAUGCAGUGACAGUAAUGGACACACAGGGCCCAGCUGCGUUACACCCAUACUGCCCACAUCAGGUCACAGUGUGGCUGUCCAGCUCAGAGAAAAUGGCACUGUCACAGAGGCUUUCGAGGAGGUCAUAGAGGUUCCCGUGGGGACCAAACUGUCCCGUCAAGAUGGAGAUGGAGAGGAGGUGGAAAAUGAAGAAGAGGAGAAGAGAAAGGUUCCCUUAUUGGCUUUCAGAGAGAAUGGCAGCAUGCAUAAUGUGAGUGGACUGGAGGAAAACCCGGCACAGUAAAGUUCAGAUGUAUGAAUAUUUAUAAUGGUGGAAAUGGAACAUGCAACACAGGAAUGAAAGAAAACCGAGUCGGAGGGAGAUCCCCUCAAUGCACUUUCCUUCAUUUGACACUAAGACACCUAAAAUAGCAAAGAGAAAUUACUAAAUUAAGAUCUCUUGGCUUCUACUUCCUGUAAUCAGAUCCUGUCUCCUCAAACUGAAAUGGUGCGCUUUAGGAACCACAUCUGUCUUUUUUCUAAUACUUGAAGAAAAGUGUCCUCGCUGUCGUGGAGGCUCCUGUGAAGUGCUAACCAUAAGGAAUGUGUGACAAGAGAAUGAUGUUUGUUGUGUUUGCUUAGAUUUAUGGCAAAACCUUGUAGUUUUGCUCUCGUUAUGCCAGCAAUUGUGUGAGUGGCUGAACUCUCUGCUUAGUUUUAUAAUUAUUGUUCAAAUGAAGAGAACAUAUUUGUUUCCCUCUUUGCAAAGCUUGAACAGAUUUUUGCCUCUUGAAUUAUGAAUUUUGAUAUGGUUUGCAAAGACCUCGUCUCACUCCACCUCAAUGUACGGCUCUCUACGCAGUCUGAGCGAAGCAAAACUGUCAUCCUAUUUUUUUGUGAAGUGACUGGGUGAAUCGGACUUGCUCAGGAACAUAUCCAUGAUAUGUUUAACUCAAAAUUAAAUGGAAAAAAGUAUUAGCGUUUAAAUUAAGCUCACCCUUUCAUUUCUUAUUACAGUAAUUGUGGGGAAAAUUAUUAUAUAUUAUGUAAAGUGUGAAGUAUGUACAUUGUGUAAACAGUUGUUCUAUUGCCUGUAAUUAAUACCGAUUCAAAUAAAAAAAAAUGUAUUACCUUUUUUCCA
ensembl:lncRNA